rnacentral:ncRNA from 1 species
UAAUAAGCGAUGAUAAGAAUGAGUAAAUAUACUGUAAUAUUAAGAGAGGAAGUGGAAGGUGCGAACUUCUUAUGAAGUAUAUUGAAGCUAUCUUUGAGCUAUGAGAAAUUAAGCGAUGUAUUUUUAUACAUAAUUAGGGUGGUACCGCGGAUAUAUGCUUUCGUCCCUUUU